rnacentral:rRNA from 1 species
GAUGAACGCUAGCUACAGGCUUAACACAUGCAAGUCGAGGGGCAGCGGUAUCGAAAGCUUGCUUUCGGUAGCCGGCGACCGGCGCACGGGUGAGUAACGCGUAUCGAACCUGCCUCAUACUCGGGAAUAGCCUUGCGAAAGUAAGAUUAAUGCCCGGUGUUUUCAGAGUCCCGCAUGAGGCUUUGAACAAAGAUUUAUCGGUAUGAGAUGGCGAUGCGUCCCAUUAGCGUGUUGGCGGGGUAACGGCCCACCAAGGAAUCGAUGGGUAGGGGUUCUGAGAGGAAGGUCCCCCACAUUGGAUCUGAGACCCGGUCCACACUCCUACGGGAGGCAGCAGUGAGGAGUAGUGGUCACUGGGCGGAAGCCUGAACCAGCCAAGUAGCGUGCAGGAAGACGGCCCUCCGGGUUGUAAACUGCUUUUAGUUGGGAAUAAAACGGUGCUCGUGAGCCCCCUUGCAUGUACCAUCAGAAAAAGGACCGGCUAAUUCCGUG